GCAGAUUUGAUCGACAAUUCCUUGCAAGCUGUUUGGUCUAAUGGUAAAAAUGAUAGGAGAUUGAUAAGUGUUGACUUCAUGAAAUUGGAGGAUAAAAUUUCAAUUUUUGACACUGGUCCUGGAAUGGACAACAGUGAUGAAAACUCUAUAGUGAAGUGGGGAAAGUUGGGUGCCUCACUUCACAGAUCAUCCAAGACUCGGGCAAUAGGGGGCAAACCACCUUACUUGAUGCCGUAUUUUGGCAUGUUUGGAUAUGGG
rnacentral:misc_RNA from 1 species